CAGUGAAGAGAGCCGGACCAAAUUCAUACCUAAGAAGAAAAGGCAAUUCGUUUUUUUAAUCAAUGAACCACUGGCAACUUUUCUAAUAAGGUCAUAACUAUCAUGGGAUGGGCUCCAAUACAAACACUGCAGUAUGUGUUCUGCUCUAUGUGGGGUCAAAAAGAAAUGAAGCAGGGGG